rnacentral:lncRNA from 1 species
UUUUGGUCCUGGAGAUUGAACCCAAAGCCUUGACACCGAGCUACAUUCCCCGUGUCUUUCAUCACUUUGGAACAGACUCUGCGUCAGCACAUUCACCUUAUCAUGCAAUCAUCCCCACCGUCUACUUGAGGGACGAUGUCAUCGUCCCAAACUGAAACCGUGUCCCCAUUGAACGGCUCCCGGCGGCCUUCUCACAGGCCCUGGCAAUCCCAUUGUAUUUUUUUGUCUCUCUGAAUCUGGCAGCCUGAGGGACCUCCUAGAGGGCCACUUUGCUCUGUGGUUUUAGUGGCUCUGGGACAAGUGGAGAGGCAAGUGUGACCUUGUCCCCGUGUGGAAAACCCAAAGUCCGAUGGCGCAGGUGGCUCUGAGGGUUGCUGGCGAUUCCCUCUGAUUCCUAUGCAGUCUCUCACACCUUCCUCUGCCCCUUCUUGCCCUCAGACACAGGUGUCCCCGGGGCUUUCUAUCUGCCAGACCAGCUCCCGUCAGCUGUCUCACAGCUCAACAGUGGCACGGCGACGUCAUGAACCCACAAGAGGCAAAGCUGAGAGAUCAGACCAGAGAAAGCAGAUGAACUACAUGGACUGA